GAUGAACGCUGGCGGCGUGCCUAAUACAUGCAAGUCGAGCGAAUGGAUUAAGAGCUUGCUCUUAUGAAGUUAGCGGCGGACGGGUGAGUAACACGUGGGUAACCUGCCCAUAAGACUGGGAUAACUCCGGGAAACCGGGGCUAAUACCGGAUAACAUUUUGAACCGCAUGGUUCGAAAUUGAAAGGCGGCUUCGGCUGUCACUUAUGGAUGGACCCGCGUCGCAUUAGCUAGUUGGUGAGGUAACGGCUCACCAAGGCAACGAUGCGUAGCCGGCCUGAGAGGGUGAGCGGCCACACGGGGACUGAGACACGGCCCAGACUCCUACGGGAGGCAGCAGUAGGGAAUCUUCCGCAAUGGACGAAAGUCUGACGGAGCAACGCCGCGUGAGUGAUGAAGGCUUUCGGGUCGUAAAACUCUGUUGUUAGGGAAGAACAGGUGCUAGUUGAAUAAGCUGGCACCUUGACGGUACCUAACCAGAAAGCCACGGCUAACUACGUGCCAGCCGCCGCAGUAA
rnacentral:rRNA from 1 species